rnacentral:rRNA from 1 species
UACGGGGGGUGCGAGCGUUGUCCGGAAUCACUGGGCGUAAAGGGCGCGUAGGUGGUUUGAUAAGGGUGUGGUGAAAGUCCGGAGCUCAACUCCGGAUCUGCCGUGCCGACUGUCAAACUCGAGGGCUGUAGAGGCAGACGGAAUUCCGGGUGUAGCGGUGAAAUGCGCAGAUAUCAGGAGGAACACCGGUGGCGAAGGCGGGUCUCUGGGCCGAUACUGACGCUGAGGAGCGAAAGCGUGGGGAGCGAACAGG